rnacentral:rRNA from 1 species
GAUCAUGGCUCAGGAUGAACGCUAGCUACAGGCUUAACACAUGCAAGUCGAGGGGCAGCAUUUUAGUUUGCUUGCAAACUGAAGAUGGCGACCGGCGCACGGGUGAGUAACACGUAUCCAACCUGCCGAUAACUCCGGGAUAGCCUUUCGAAGAAAGAUUAAUACCGGAUAGUAUACGAAUAUCGCAUGAUAUUUUUAUUUUAAAGUAAAUUACGUUUAGUUCGAUGGGAGUGCGUCC